rnacentral:lncRNA from 1 species
GUAGGAAAAAACGGGAAACAAGCCAGAUCCUAGAAUGAAUCAAACCCAGACACCGAAAACUUUAUCUCUCUAAUCACAUACUUAGUAAAAAGAGAGAAUGCCGCAUAAACUUUUCAUCGACCUCUGACGAAUACCAAAUGAUGAUAAACAUUUCAAAUACUAAAUUACUAUAAAAUUGAAAAAAUAAUCGAUAUGAAAAAUAGAAUAACAAAAAAUAACAACAGUAAAAAGCCAACAAAACAAACAAUGAAAAACAAAAAAAAAAUCAACGAAAAAUUAUAAUAUAACUAAAAAUAAAAGAAAAAUUUUAUAAAGCUCCCGCGCGCAGCGCGGAUCAACAACUAGUAUAUAUAUAUAUCUGUUUAGAUCUUAGAAAACUUGUAGAUUUAUAGUUGUUUAUAAGUAGGUUCGAAACGUAUGUAUCCCGGGAAAAACAAUCAAACCAAAAAUAUUGAAUCGAAAACAAACUAAAAAAGGAAGAAACGAACUUAACCAAAAC